GACUCACGCGGGAAUCUUACCGGGCCCGGACACACUGAGGAUUGACAGAUAUACGCUACGUUGCACCUUCGGGCGCACGUGGCUCAAAGAUGCUAGUUCUUUCAUGAUUAUGUGAUAGGUGGUGCAUGGCCGUUCUUAGUUCGUGGAGUGAUCUGUCUGCUUAAUUGCGUAUCAAUAAUAGAGACCUAGUAUACGCGUAUUACUCAUGUGGUAGUGACCCCCUUCUCACGGAGGCGCGUGUCGCACAUAUGGUAUACGCACUGGUCUCAGAUAGCAACGAACGUGACCGCAUUCUAUUGUUGCAGUGAAUUAUACGCGUGCUUUAUGCAUGCAUUCCCACUGCUUAGUGUGCGCUGUCAGUACUUGUUGCUGCUGCGUCACACAUUAAACUAUAGAGACCGCUGUUUCUUCUUUAAACCAGAGGAAGGAUACGGCAAUAACAGGUCUGUGAUGCCCUCAGAUGUUCCGGGCUGCACACGUGCUACAAUGAUCAUUGCACUGUGCAUCUAACCCAAUGUGCGCGGACGCCACGAUAUGUAAUUGCCUUCGGGCAUUUUAUGUAUUCGCUUGUGCGACUGCGCCGAACCUACUUCGAAAGUAAAAUUUUUAAGUGGGUAAUCCAUUAGAAGUAAUGACUCGCAUAGACCAUGGCACACUAUAUGUACGCGCAGGUCUACCCGGCUCGCCUUUGUGUGAGUGCAGUGCGUAGCUUGUUGUUUCGUACGUGCCACUCCGUAUUAAUUCGUACGUGGGGAUAGAUCAUUGUUUAAUUGUUGGUCUCGGUCUUAACUAGGAAUGCCUUGUACGGGUCUUUGGUUCAACAUAC
rnacentral:rRNA from 1 species